rnacentral:snoRNA from 1 species
AAGAAUUUUGUCCCCCUGCUAAAAAUAAAGUUGUUUCUUAUUUAUGCCUGCCUGCUGAACUCUUGUAGCAACCAAGGACACUUGGUUUCAUACAC